GUCGUCCACCAUCAGCUGGGCCAGCGCCCAGAAGGCGUCCUCCUCGGGCAGGAACAUGAGGACGAUGGCCGCGAUCUCGCUCAUGCCCUGGCAGUAGCCCACCUCCUGCAAGAGCCAGAGCCCCACGGAGGGUGUGCGCCCCGAGGCCCCCUCUGAGCCCUCCCCGUGGGUGUCAGGCUCCCCUGGCUCCCUCACAGCCCGGGCUCCCGGAGGGGGCUCCCAGAGGGCGGGGGGGGCAGGUGAGGGCCACCCGGACCAGCUCGGGCGCCAGCACCCCAGGCCCCGCUACUGAGCCCUGCGGCCGCCGUGCCAGGGCCCCCGUCCUCAGACCAGCAGGAGGGGCCUCCGUGAGCUGUGCCAGGCUGCAGGGGACCCGCCAGGUCUGGAGACCCCCCGGAGGGCAGGUCGGGGGCCUGACUGUGGCCCCUGGCAUGUCCCACGAGGGGAGCUGGGCCAGGACACCCCGCGGGGCCGGGGAGCGUGUGAGCUGGGGUCCUCGGGGACCCUUCUGGGGUGCGCCGAGGAAGGGGGCGGCCUCCUGGGCGCCUCGGCCUCGUGCCCUUCAGGGGAGUGGGAGCCUUCCCCGCCCGGGGUUCUCGUCAGUAGAGCCGUCUGUCAGGGUCCAGACCCGAGCUCUAGGACAGCCGCGGUGCACGCGGGGGUCCCGGGCAGCCCUGGCCCUCGGGCACACAGGCCCUGCCUCCCCUGGGAGGUCUGCCCCCCACCCCCUGCCUGUCCUGGAGGAAAGAGACCCUCCUCGGCAUCUCGGGGCCAUGGAGCUGGGGUCCUAACUGUGAGUCCCGCUGGUCACCAGCACUCAGGACAAGGCCGCCUGCGGGGCAGGAGGCGGGGGCAGGGACACUCACGGUGUCGUACACCGAGUAGGCCGCCAGCACGUGGAACAGGGCUCACUGCCUAGGAGGGGGGACAGCGGGGGGCUCUGCUCAGUCAGCCCCUGCCCAGCGAGGCCGCGGAGGUCCCCUCCGCGGGGGGCCGAUCUCUGGGGUCAGGUCUGCGCACGGGGACAGGC
rnacentral:lncRNA from 1 species